GCCGUGGGCCGUGACUGGCGCGCUGGGAUGGGACCGACCAUCGGGGAGCGGCCCGUUCGACACAGUGCCGUGCGCCUGGGCCGUACCC
rnacentral:ncRNA from 1 species